rfam:Hordeum vulgare subsp. vulgare, WGS project CAJW01000000 data, contig: morex_contig_7447
UAUAUACUCCUUUCGUCCGGAAUUACUUGUCGCAAAAAUGAAUAGAAAUGGAUGUAUCUAGAACUAAAACGCAUCUAGAUACAUCCAUUCCUCCGACAAGUAUUUCCGAACGGAGGGAGUAUAUA